GUACUUACCUGGCAGGGGCGAUACCAUGAUCACGAAGGUAGCUUACCCAGGAUGAGGCUUAUCCAUUGCACUCCGGAUGUGCUGACCCCUGCGAUUUCCCCAAAUUCGGGAAACUCAACUCCAUAGUUUGUGGUAGUGGGCGACUGCAUUCUCGUUUUCUCCUA
rnacentral:snRNA from 1 species